AAUGAGUGAAAAUAUCAGUGAGGGUGACAAAACAUGAGAGACACCUAACUCUGGGAAAUAAACAAGGGGUGGUGGAAAGGGAGGUGGGAAGGGGGUUGGGGUGACUGGGUGAUGGGCACUGCGGGGGGCACUUGGCCAGAUGAGCACUGGGUGUUAUGCUAUAUGUUGGCAAAUAGAACUCCAAUAAAAAGUAAAUAAUAAAUAAAUAAAUAAAUAAAUAAAUAAAUAAAUAAAUAAAUAAAUAAAAAUAAAUAGGGACGGCUUAGUUGUCUCUAGUUUGGGUGAUCCUAAAUAAAACUGACUUUAUUUGCAAAACAAACUUGAAUACCUUGCAAAAAGACAGGCUUUAUGGACUACCAUCCUGAAUCAGUUUGGAUUAGGCCCAUUAAAAAACAUAUUUCAGGGAUCCCUGGGUGGCGCAGCGGUUUGGCGCUUGCCUUUGGCCCAGGGCGUGAUCCUGGAGACCCGGGAUCGAAUCCCACGUCGGGCUCCCGGUGCAUGGAGCCUGCUUCUCCCUCUGCCUGUGACUCUGCCUCUCUCUCUCUCUGUGUGUGACUAUCAUAAAUAAAUUUAAAAAAAUUAAAAAAAAAACAUAUUUCAGAUGGAUGGAAGAUGGUGGAAUAGAAUUCCUCAUGUCAGCUGGUCCCCUAAAUUUAGCCACAUAACUAUCAAGCCAUCCUGAACAGCAGUGAAUUCAAGCUGAGAUGUAAGGAAGAAUACCUGACUCUACAAAUCAAAAGAUACACCCCUGUCGAGACAGCAGGUGAUUGCUGUGCAGCUGCAUUCACUUUGAAAGCACUAUGAUGUCACACAUUGCCAUGGUGACGAGAAAUAUACCUCUGCCUUUCUUCUCAACUGUCACUCUUUGAGCUGAGCAGUUCAUAGUUGAUAUUGAGUGAGUUGUCAGCUCUCUACCUAGUGUCUUUGACAAUGGACAACCUUAAUUGUUGCUGCUGCGAUGAUGUUGCCAAGGCUAUGGUGCCAGAUUUUGUCCACCGAAACUCAAACAACGGUGAAAUCCAGUAUCGGUGCCAGUUUAUACUUGGUGAGAGAAGCAGAGACUGUCCCCAGGCUCCUUAUAUCAGUCAUGGACAUCUAAUGAAGGUCUGUCAAGUGUCAGGCUUGCCUGUGUGUGUGCGUGUGCUUGUGUGGAGGGUGAGGUUGGAGGCUGUGAUAAAUAGAAUAUGAGAGUGGGAACAGAAGGACAGACGCCAACUCCUGACCAACUGAAUGCUGCUCAAGUUGCAGUUCCCUCAAGGGCCUCUGAUAAAGAACCAUCAAAAAGUAAUUGUCAUGAUAUGUUUUUCCAAAUUCUCCAAACAUAGGCAGAGGGUGAGCACAGUUUUUAAAAUCUGGAAUUCAGUUCAUUAUAAUUGAUACUGCAGAAAAGUAUUCAACAAUCAUUUCUUAUAAGUUGUUAUCCUAAAGGAACACGAAAUUAGAAUUUUCUGCCAUGGUUAUUUUAUGAGUUCAGGAAAUUGAUGAACCUUAAUAAAGAGAUAAAAAAUAAAAGGCA
rnacentral:lncRNA from 1 species